GACGAACGCUGGCGGCGUGCUUAACACAUGCAAGUCGAGCGGUAAGGCCCUUUCGGGGUACGACGAGCGGCGAACGGGUAGAGUAACACGUGGGUGGACCUGCCCUCCAGCUCUGGGAGUAAGACCUGGGAAACGUAGGGUCUAAUACCGGAUAUGACUCCAUGACGCAUGUUGUGGGGUGGAAAGCCUUGUGCGGCUGAGGAUGGGCCCGCGGCCUAUCAGCUUGUUGGUGGGGUGAGGCCUACCAAGGCGACGACGGGUAGCCGGCCUGAGAGGGCGACCGGCCACACUGGGACUGAGACACGGCCCAGACUCCUACGGGAGGCAGCAGUGGGGAAUCUUGCGCAAUGGGCGAAAGCCUGACGCAGCGACGCCGCGUGAGGGAUGACGGCCU
rnacentral:rRNA from 1 species